rnacentral:rRNA from 1 species
UACGAAGGGGGCUAGCGUUGUUCGGAAUUACUGGGCGUAAAGCGCGCGCAGGCGGUCUUUCAAGUCAGGGGUGAAAGCCCAGAGCUCAACUCUGGAAUUGCCUUUGAGACUGGGAGACUUGGGUACGGGAGAGGUGAGUGGAAUUCCGAGUGUAGAGGUGAAAUUCGUAGAUAUUCGGAAGAACACCAGUGGCGAAGGCGGCUCACUGGCCCGUUACCGACGCUCAGGCGCGACAGCGUGGGGAGCAAACAGG